AGAAUCAUGAUCCUAAACAGUAUGAUAAGAUUCAUGGUUUUCCUCAGUACUGGGGAUAGAGCCCAAAGGUGCUCCGCCCUUGUUUUUCUUUAAGAUAAGUUGCCCAGACUGGCCUGGGACUCCUCCUACCUCAGCCAGCUAAGUACCUGGAAUUAUAGGCAUGCACCACCACGCCUGACUCUGAUCAGACUCUUUAAAGAAAAAAUUAUGUGUUUCUCUCCUUAGGAACCUUCCAUAGACCCCAGUUACUAUUACAAAAAGGUCAUAAUCAUAGCCCAAAUUUCAAGACCUUUAACAUCUGAUCUAGUCCCCCACCACGUCUUCCUGAAUUCUAAUUAGACUCAGGAGAACACGCUCCAUCCCUUGGAAUAUACUGACCCUGACCCACUGCAGGUGUUCUCAUAUAGUGUCUUCUGCCACCCUUGCUGGAGCCAGGUCCUAUACAUGCUCUAAGAAACAGGUGGCAUCAUGGUUCUUCGUCUAUCAAGAAGAAACCCUGGUGGUCACAACCCUCAGUCUACCUUCUUGGCAAUUUACUCAUAACAUUCGCAAAGUUCUUCUCAUCUCCUUUUUUGAAGAAAAUUGACAACCUGCAAUGACACCUAUAUUUUGAGGAACAAUGUGUCAAGCCAUGUGGAGUCUACAAAGAAGUGAAGGGAAAAUAGAAAGAAACCUGCUCUGUAAUUGGCAUGAUUCUCCGUUGAAUAAUUCAUGUAUGCAAGAAAUUCUAGUUUUUGAGGAUUCAUUUCAACAGUAAGCCUUUACAUGAUUGACAUGGUAGGAAAUUUAAGUGCAAUCACUUUAGACCAGUCUCCUCCUCUUGGACUCAUAUACCACAGUCCAGGGAGCUUUAAGUGGUGUCUGGAAAAUUUUCAAAUUC
rnacentral:lncRNA from 1 species